rnacentral:rRNA from 1 species
GCCACCAAGCCUUCGAUGGAUAGGGGUUCUGAGAGGAAGGUCCCCCACAUUGGAACUGAGACACGGUCCAAACUCCUACGGGAGGCAGCAUGG